CCUCUCGCGCUCCCGCCGCCGCCUGAGGGGCCGGGGCCGAGCGGGUCCGUCAGGGCCGCCCCGGCAGCGCGACGCCUGCGAGCCCCAUCUCCGCCCUGUCCCGGCACCAGCGCUCCUGCCCGCCCUUGCAUAUCCUCAUUUCGGAUCCCGAAAUCACCUUUCGCGCGUGCCUGGAUUUAAUCUCCCUCCGUCCCACACGAUGCCCGCAGCGGCGUGCCCUACAUAACACGGGCAGCGAGAGGGACUCCACUGCAGUGCCGGCAUGGGGGAAGGGAGGAGAGGCCGCCUUUCCAAAUUGUCAGGGUCACAAGAAAUUCUUGUGAUUCCCCAAGCGGCUCCCUUGCUCUAGCAGCAAGGAUGCCGUGCUGGGAUUUAAGCUGCUGAACACACGAAGGGAGCAAAUGUUGCCAAGAUCGUUCCCGAGAGCACAGGUGGAUACUGAGGAGCCUCUCCCAAAAUGAAUAAAUUCGCAGAAGUGUCAUGCUGCAGGCACAGGCUUCUCCUGCCAGCAGUGGCUGCUUGCCCUGGGCAGGAGGGGCUGCAGCGGACCUUCCAUACAGUGCUGCGAGCCGGGAAAGGGAAGGGUGUGCUCCGCUGGGAUCGGCCCGUCUGCAUCCCACACAGCCGCGAGGGCAGAGGCAUUCCCAUACGUGCCAGCAGGAAAAAAAGACAUCUUCCUCUCAGUCACCCAAGACCAUUCACAUUGGCAGUACAGCCAUUACUUGGAAAUUUCUGUACCUCACAUGAGACAUCUUCUGCUGCACAUCCCACAAAUCAAGCCUACUCCUCAAAGUGGAGGCUCCAGGCCCACCCACAGGGAUUGCUUCUUGCACCAAACCCAGCUUGAGGCCUGCAGGCUGAGUUUCACCGUGGCCAUUCUGAAAGGACACUUGCACCACAUCCCAGAAACUUGUCUUCUUCUGGGUUCAGAUGCUGCUAGUGCCAACAAACAUCCAUGGAGCUGCAGGAAUACCCAGAACAGCAGCAGCAGGGAAGGCUGUGGCCAGACCACAGGGGUGUCAGCAUCCACAGCAGAUUACUUUGAAGAAAAGGAGGUGAGAGAAGGAGUAAUGAAGCCAGCAUGGGAGGGUGUGGGAAAAGUGGGACUAGGGUUCUUGUAUUGGCUAAACACCCUGCCUGGUGCCUGCAACAUGAGCAUGCAACCAUUUGUGUACUUUUGAUGGUAGCAGCAUGUGACACAGACACCUCACCCCUCAGAGCUCCCUUCCUACCUCUGAAAGGGCUUCCUUCCCCAGCAGGGUAUGGCAUGCAUACAUGUUCCUAUAUAUGUGUACAAAUGUGCCUGCCUGUCUCCCUGUGUGUUAGAGCAGUGCUGAGAUCUCCCAGCCAAGCAGUGAACUUCAGUGGAAGGAAGUGCCUGCACCUCCUGCCCGAGGCAAAAGAAUUUCUAAAAACUAAUUCCCCAAAAUGAGUGCCAAAAGUUAAUGAGCUCUGCUUCCCCACCACCCCUGCCAAGACAUCUCCCCCUUCUUGAGGUGCUUACAUGGCAGCUGGGCUCACCACGGCUCUGCUUCUCUGCACGUGGCUUUCCUUGUGAGGUGCCAUUUGCCAGAGAACUAGGUAUUAGGCAGGGAGAAAACGUGACAAAGGGCCUUGGGAUCACCAGAAGUUGUACUGUCCUGGGCAGGAAGGACACCUAGAGCUGCCUUUUUGCAUUUCCCUGCUCUGAAAACACUCUGGCAGCCUGGACAGAGACAGCUUUGGGAGCUCUUGGAACAAGCCUUGGCAGGAGGCAGAGUCCAGGAGGUGCCAAGAGCAGCAAUAAACCAAGGGGCUGAAAUCAGGAUGGGGAAAUCCAAGGCCUGUGGUGUUGGGCCAUGGGAGAUCAUUGGGUGGGACAGCAAGAGACACAUUCCUGUGGCUGCUUCUCUCUCAAAACCCAGGCUGUCUGUAAGGACCCAGGCUGUCUGUCAGCCAUCUCUUCCUACUCACAUCUGCUAAGGACAACAUGGUCCCAGCAAGAGCAGGGAUCCUGCAGCAUUGUAGCACAAGAGGUCUGAGCUUGACAGAAAGAUACAGGAGUCAGCUGAGCCUGGGGAAGGCAUGUGGGCUGGAAGAAAACAAAUGACCCUUAAAAAGGCUUUGACAGUUUGGCUGCCACUGAUACCCCAAAACCAAGACAUGAAUGGUCUCAAACAGGAGAAUAUCCAGGCUGCCUAGAGCUUCUUUUGGAAUGCUGCUAUAUUGAAUCCCCACCACAGCUCCCAGGGGCAAUGCCCAGCUGUGUUGCAGUUACUCUCAAGCAAUUUUGCUGAGGAAAACUGAGGCCAUCUCACUCCCAUGAAAGCAGGACUUUCCCUCUCUGUCUCAGAGCUUUGCUGGGGUACAGACAGGGUCAUGUGCCUUGGGAUUCAAUUAGCAAAAGUAUGCAGCUCUUCAUCCUUCCCAACCAUCUGCCUGGAGGGCUGCAGUGCUAUUGGAAGCCCACAGCUAAGGCAGACAUAGGAAAUCCACUGAGAACAAAGGAAAUAUGCCAAAGAGCACCUCCAGAGCUGAGUGUUUUUCCAAUUCAAAGCAGCCAAAUCUACUCCGGCAUCUAGCUUUAGAGACUUUUAUCCCACCCCUAGGUAAAUGUAAUUUUUUGGAGGAUUAAUUCAGAUGGUUAUGAAUGACCCUAUUUAUGGGGUCUCUGCUAUGUUUGUGCCUCCUAAGGCUCUCUGGAACAAGUAGUAGUUUUCUGGGGCACUGCCAUCCGCAAGAUAAACUGCAGAUACGAGCACUCCUGAAAGGGGCAGUCUUGGGAGCUGCCAGGGACAGGACUGCUGUGGUGAGAAAUGAGUCAGCUG